GUGUGUGGUCUGUGUGGGAACUUCGACUCCAGCGAGGCCAAUGACCUGCUGAGUGCCGGCUCCUGGCUGGAGUUUGGCAACAGCUGGAAAACGGGCACGCCACCCUGUUCCGACGUGACGAGCGAGACCUUCCCCUGGCAGCGCCACUCCUACUGCGCCAACUGGGCAGAGAGACGCUGCAUGAUCAUUAAGGGAGACACCUUCAGAGGGUGCCACCUCAAGGCUGCUAUCCCAGGUGUCCGGCAGAGGCUCCAUACUAUGAUGAGAACACAGAUAACUGCACCACACUGCAGAACUGUACCUGUCUCUUCAAUGGCACAGUCCUUAGACAUGGCACUGAAGUGAACACGUCCAGUGGAGACUGCACUUGCACAAAUGGAACCAUGGUCUGUGGGAAAUGUGUACCAACAACCAGAAAUCCUCCAACUACAACCUCAGAAGCAACAACCACAAAUAGACUUACUACAACAGUACCCUCAACAACCACUGUGGCAACAACAAUGAUGGCACCUACUACUAUGACUGUGGAACCAUCAACGUCUACAAUAUCAAGCACGGUAGAACCUACAACAGAACACGCGACUACGUCUACAACACCUACAACUGAACCAACGACUACAGCAACCCCAUUUACAACCACAUUUAAACCUACAACUACAAGGCCUCCCACCGAACCCACAACUACCACAGCACCAACCUCAACAACAUUCACAGUUAAAACCGGACCCCCCAAAACAAAAUCAUCCACAUCUCCACAGGUUAAGUUUACUACACUCUCAGAGGCAACAAGUUCAGCAUCACCAACAACCACAAUCAUACUGCCAACAACUGCAACAACAACUACUGCUACUACACUGGAACCAACAUCUCUAUCUACAACUAAAACCACGGGGCCUUCAAGCACAACAACCACAGCACCAACUUCUGUAGCUGUGUCAACCACAACUCUAUGUCAGUGCAGGGACGUGUUGAGAAACGAGAGCUGGAUGUGUGGAGAGAGGUGGACAGAGGACUGUUUCAACAAAGAGUGUCGUGAUGGACAAAUCACCAUGACACAGGUCACAUGUCCAGAGAGACCAGAGCCAGUCUGCCCUCGAGGUCAGGUGACCAGGGUU